rnacentral:rRNA from 1 species
GACGGGGGAUGCAAGCGUUAUCCGGAAUCACUGGGCGUAAGGCGUCUGUAGGUGGUGAUGCAAGUCACUUGUGCAAAACUCUGGCUCAACCGGAGGAAAGCCAGUGAAACUGCAUGACUAGAGUGUGGGAGAGGUAGAAGGAAUUCCCUGAGUAGCGGUGAAAUGCGUAGAUACAGGGAAGAACACCGGAGGCGAAAGCGUUCUACUGGAACACAACUGACACUGAGAGACGAAAGCUAGGGGAGCUAAUGGG